GCUGGCUUAGCUCAGAUUGGUAGAGCGCCGUUCUUACACAGCGGAUGUCAUUGGUUCGAUUCCAAUAGCCAGUACCA
rnacentral:tRNA from 2 species